rnacentral:rRNA from 1 species
AUUGAACGCUGGCGGCAUGCUUUACACAUGCAAGUCGAACGGUAACAGGCCUUCGGGUGCUGACGAGUGGCGAACGGGUGAGUAAUGCAUCGGAACGUGCCCAAUCGUGGGGGAUAACGUAGCGAAAGUUACGCUAAUACCGCAUAAGCCCUGAGGGGGAAAGUGGGGGACCGCAAGGCCUCACGCGAAUGGAGCGGCCGAUGUCAGAUUAGCUAGUUGGUGGGGUAAAGGCCCACCAAGGCGACGAUCUGUAGCGGGUCUGAGAGGAUGAUCCGCCACACUGGGACUGAGACACGGCCCAGACUCCUACGGGAGGCAGCAGUGGGGAAUUUUGGACAAUGGGCGCAAGCCUGAUCCAGCCAUGCCGCGUGGGUGAAGAAGGCCUCGGUUGUAAGUAC